AAAAUAUAUAGUCUUAUAAGUAGGGCUGAACGAUCUAUCGUUUUCGACCGAAAAUCGCGAUCUCAAGCAUUACGAUUUUGGGAUCGUCAAAGCUGCGUUUUUUUUUUUUUUUUACAUUUUAGAAAAGUGCAAUUAUUUUGAUGCUGAUGAGCCAUUGAAGCAAGUUUACUUAAGAAAGAGGGCUCCCUUUUUAUUUGACUUUUUUGGUUGUUGUUUCUUAGGUACUUGAAUAAACAGUCUUGCAUUUGAAAUCUGUUGCCAGCAGUUUUCAUUAUUGCAUUACCUUAAUGGAAUUCAUUGGUUAUAUUAAUUUAUACUGAAACUUGAUUUGAAGAAAAUAAAUCGUGGUUGAAAUCGAAACCGCAAUCUCUACCAGAAAAAUCGCAAUUUCAAUUUUUUCUUAAAAUCGUUCAGCCCUACUUAUAAGUGAUGUUGCUAGGUACGCGUCCUGCGUCCCUGACGCAUUAAAAUCUGAAAGGACGCACUAAACUCACUAUCCAUGCAUCCCGGGGACGCAUCUCAUUUUCCCCAUGAAAAACGAUACAUUGUGAACAUUAAACAACUCGUGUUUAAUCACAGUAACUGGCCAAAGAAACCUUCUUGUGAGCAGACCGGACAAGCGCUGUUUCAACCCUCUGCGCAUCUACUCGGCGCAGACGUGAUCCCCUGUACAAAGUAUCGCGACAUGCUAAUUUAGCCGCUACCAAAACAACUAGCUCGUCACCGCUGAUUUCAUUUCAACAAUUAAAAAUACGAACUUCAUAGUAAACAAACCCACGUUUCCACUGCUCGAUGCUGUGCUCAUUCGUGUCGAUUAUGUUGUAACGUUUAGGGGACGUGCUGUAAUGAAAUAAAUGAAACAUAAUCCGGUGGUGGUGAUGAAAACUACAUUGAACGGCAGCCGCCAUAUUGUUAUGCCCAAACGGCGCCUGCGCAUACAUCGCGCUUCCAACGAGAUCCCGUUUUUCUCGAGAAACAGGCAGAGAAGAGAGAACGCAAAAAUGCCACCAAAGAAAAAGAUGAAACCUAUUGCAGGUCAGCAAACUAUUGCAGCUGCAUUUUCUGUCCCCACUACCUCUGCACUCCUCCCUGACUCUGAUCAGCCUAGAGAGAGUACCUCAACAUUGCCUGUACCUACUUCUGCCUCCCCCUCUACUGAGCCUGAUGAGCCCACUGCAGAAGAAGUGCCUCGACCUUCUACAUGUUCCUCCCAAAAAAAGCGAACUUUUCUGAAGCAGUGGCUCACCACAUACAAACGGCUGCGCUUUUCAGAUGACAAUUUCAUGUAUUGAGUUUAACACUAUUAAUUUAAUUUAAGAAAUAGAAUAAUAAUAAAAAAGAAACACAUUUUUUAAACUGGGGAGUCGGGACCCAUUGAAUUUCUCAGGGACCCACCCAACUCGCCACCUGUGGGUCCCGGGGACUCACUACAUUGAAAACCUAUCAA